rnacentral:lncRNA from 1 species
CCUGUGUAAAGGGUGUCAAUGACCAAUGAUAAAUACGCCUCUUUGCCAAGCACAUGCAAUGUUUGAAACGAUAUACGAUGGAGUGCUAUUCCUAAAGAUGGCCUGGAUCGGCAACUAAUUACCAAGAGCAAUGUUACACUUUAAAGUGAAAUUACCCGAAAGAGGAGUAACGCAGCCCAACAGGCGCGCGCGAUGAACGGAUAGACCGUUGAUAAGUAACCGCAGAGGGUGCGUGCCGUGUGCAAACCAGUUAGUUUGCAAAUGGAUCAACUGGGCGGGGGAUGCAGGACGUGCGCAGAGAUACGUGCUGUGUCCAAACCGUUGUCAAGGGAACUAACCGUCCUCCUCGCUCUUGGGUCAGUAUUCCCACGUGUGUUCGUGCAGGCGGUUGUGUUGCGCUCGGAGAGUUGGACGAUCUAGGAACUACGGUGCGGUUCCUUAGAUAUACACGUAUGUGUGGAUCAGCGUGUGGUGCUGCUUUACGUUUCGCCGCACCCAUCAACUCUGCAGCUGGUCACGACAGGUCGCGACGCUGCGCUGUGUAUCUCCGGCGCAGUCACGGCACUGCGUCGCCACCGGCUGGAAACAGCGGCCGAGAAGACAGCAGGCUAAUCGGAUCGAGGAUUUCAAUUUGACUGUGGGCAUAAAUCGGCGCUGGAUUCCUUCACAAGCAGAAGAAAUAAUCAGCAAAUGCAACAAAACCGACCGCAGCACCCUCCCCAAAGAGCGAUUAGUGGCCACCAGAAGUAACAAUCAGGUACCUAUCCGAGGCCCUGGAGGGCACGCACAGCCGAGACCGCCGGCACCACAUCCAGCAUUUAUGCUACUGAGACGACCACCAAGAAGAGGCCCUGGAACAUGACGCAAAAUAUAAGGCACAUCAAGUCUAAGAAUCCACACGAUAAGCAAGACGAAGUGGAUUAAUUGAAGACGCGGAUAGAACCUUCAUCCCCUGUGUUCCGAUUAGCUCUACGAGGGGAGCCAAACUGCAAGCCUGCACAUAUUCGCACCCAUCGACUCACAACAGCCGGCGAGAUGCACCACACCACACGUU